CGUAGCGUGCGUCGCCCCGCCCCGUCGGCUCCACCCCUGUUUCUCGCGUUUUGAGUUGGCCCGCGCUUUUUGCUCGUCGCCUCAGAGAGCAUUUGCCUCAGGAGGUGCUUUCCUCGCGAAGAAGCCCAGGGUAAACACGGCUGUCAAAGCAGAAGUGAGAGCGACUUGACGCCAAGAGAGAGGGAGACCCCAAAGCGGCCGCUGCCUCAGGAGGCCGUAGUCCUGGGCGCCGUCAGCCUUCCCUGAGGGCUUCGAUUGGUCCCCUCAGGGCUGCGCACCGGCCUCUUGCUACCCGCCUCACGGACCCGGUCUUGCAGCGCGUCGCCGACCCAGUUGCCUUGCUGCCAGAAUGAGCUGAGGUCUGAAAAUUGCUCAGCAGGACCAGGCAUAGCAGGGACCUCUCCUUUCAUGGUUUCACUUGCCAAUGACCACUGUCUUGAUAACUGAUGUUUUCAUUGUUAGUUGAAAUGCCAGUUUUCCUGCCCAGUCAAGACAGAUGUCAAGUACAGGAGGGAGGCCAGCUCUUUGGCAUAUCAAGACUUCUUUGUCCUGGGCUCAUUUAACCCACUAUUUGCCGUCUAUCACUAGAGUGUGCACCUGACCAACGAUUAGCAUUUAAUGGCAACAGUGAAGCCUGUAGUAUCCGAGAGGUGCAGGUAUCCAAGGCUGCUGCUGCAGGA